AGUUACCAGCCAGUAGCUGUGGACAAAAACAGAUUUUGUGUGUGUGUGUGUGUAUUUUCAUAUACGUAUGUAUAUCAUAAUAUCACAGGACCAGUUACUUUUGCAUUGGACCGAAGAUGUAUGUAUUAAUUACUGUUUGUGUUCUAUUUGUACUGUUCUGGAAAGACUUCUGGAGGUAAAAUCUAGGUUUUUUGAUUCCACUUCUUGCUUCCUUCCUUCUUCCCUCCUCUCCCUUCCCCUCCCCUCCCUUCUCAUCCCUUCCCGUUCCCUUCCUCCCCCUUCCCUCCAUCCCCCCCUCCCCUCCCUCCCCUCCCUCCCCUCCUCUCUCCCCCUUCCCCUCCCUCCCUCCCUCUCCCUCCCUCUCCCCUCCCCUCCCCCCUUGACGGAGUUUAGCUCUUGUUGUCCAGGCUGGAGUGUAGUGGCACGAUCACGGCUCACUGCAACUCCACCUACCGGUUUCAAGUGAUUCUCCUGCCUCAGCCUCCCUGCGUAGCUGGGAUUACAAGGGCUGCCACCACGCCCGGCUAAUUUUUUUUUUAUUAGUAGAGACAGAGUUUCAACAUGUUGGCCAGACUGGUCUUGAACUCCUGACCUCAGGUGAUCCACCUGCCUUGGCCUCCCAAAAUGCUAGGAUUACAGGCGUGAGCCACCAGGCCCGGCCGGUUCUACUGCUUUCUAUAUUCUGAAUACUUUCACUGUCAGACCUUAUUUAACAAGAAUCAGCUAAUCUUUAUUCAAUUAUUUUGGUCAGUUAAUACAACUAGAAGUUAGGGGAACUUGGAGAAGUAUGUCAACAAUGUGUCAAUAGUCCUACCACAUAAUUAAUAAUUCUGUUCCCUUUUCAGUCCCCUUCACAGUUUUUGUUUUUUCGAGACAGAGCCUUGCUCUGUCACCCAGGCUGGAGUGCAGUGGUAUGAUCUCAGCUCAAGGCAACCUCCGCCUCCCAGGUUCAAGCGAUUCUCCCGCCUUAGCCUCCUGAGUAUCUGGGACUACAGGUGUGCGCCACUACAGCUGGCUAUUUUUUUUACUUUUAGUAGAGACGGAGUUUCACCAUAUUCACCAGGCUGGUCUCGAACUCCUGACCUCAAGCGAUCUACCCACCUUGGCCUCCCAAAGCGCUGGGAGGCAUGAGCCACUGCGCCCAGCCUCGCUCAACUAAUUUUUUUUAUUUUUAGCAGACACGGAGUUUUCGCCAUGUUGGCCAGGCUGGUCGCAAACUCCUAAGUCCUUUCUUUUUCCCCCCAGUGGUUAUCUGGUUACCUGUUGUUGUUUUUUCCUUUUUGUUUUUUUUGAGAGUCUCACUCUGUCGCCAGGCUGGAGUGCAGUGGCAUAAUCUCGGCUCACUGCAACCUCCGCCUCCCGGGUUCAAGUGAUUCUCCUGCCUCAGCCUCCCGAGUAGCUGGGACUACAGGCAUGCACCACCAUGCCUAGCUAAUUUUUGUAUUUUUAGUAGAGACAGUAUUUCACCAUGUUGGCCAGGCUGGUCUCAAACUCCUGACCUCAGGUGAUCCCCCUGCCUUGGCCUCCCAAAGUGCUGGGAUUACAGGUGUAAGCUAUUGUGCCCGGCCUUUUUAAGUUUCUGAUCUGAUAUAUUCUGUGUGGCUGACUGCUGCAACUUUAGUUCAUCUGUCUUAAAAUGAAAAGGGGCACAAUAAUAUUUUUUUCUUUACUGAGACAGGUUCUCACUGUUGCCUGAACCACGAGUGCAGUGGCACAAUCACCACUCACUGCAGCCUUGACUUCCGGGUUCAAGCCAUCCUCUCACCUCAGCUUCCUGAGUAGUUGGGACUACAGUUGCAUGCCACCAUGCCUGGCUAAUUUUUGUGGUUUUGUUUUUGUUUUGUUUUUGAGAUGGAGUCUUGCUCUGUUGCCCAGGCUGAGGCAGGAGAAUCGCUUGAGCCUGGGAGGCGGAGGUUGUGGUGGGCCAGGAUCACGCUACUUUACUCCAGUCUGGGCGAUGGAAUGAGACACAGUCUCAAAAAAAAAAAAAAAAUCCAUUAAUAUAGGAGCAUUAUUAACUGCCCUUACUGCCUUUUCAGGCAAAAGGGAUUCUAUGAAAUAUUUUUACGAAUAUCUUAGAAUAUGCAACUGAAUUUGAUUGGUUAACACUGAAAUAAACUUGCUAUUAAAAAGAAAACUAAGGCCCAGUAUGGAGGCUCACGCCUGUAAUCCCAGCACCUUGGGAGGCCAAGGCAGGUUGGAUCACCUGAGGUCAGGAGUUUAAGACCAGCCAGGCCAACAUGGUGAAACCCUGUCUCUACUAAAAAUACAAAAAAUUAGUCGGGCGUUGUAGCGGGCACCUAUAAUCCCAGCUACUUACUUGGGAUGCUGAGGCAGGAGAAUUGCUUGAACCCGGGAGGCACAGGUUGCAGUGAGCCGAAAUUGCACUGUUGCACUCUAGCCUGGACAACAUGUGUGAAACUCCAUCUCAACUAAAGAAAAAAAAGGAAAACUAGGCCGGGUGCAGUGGCUUAAUGCCUGUAAUCCCAGCACUUUGGGAGGCCAAGGUAGGUGGCUCACUUGAGGCCAGGAGUUUGAGACCAGCCUGGCCAACAUGGCGAAACCCCGUCUCUACUAAAAAUACAAAAAUUAAUCAGGCAUGGUGGUGCAUGCCUGUAAUUCCAGCUACUCGGGAGGCUGAGGCAGGAGAAUUGCUUGAACCCAGGAGGCAGAGGUUAAAGACCCUGUCUCAAAAAAAAAAAAAAAAAAAAAAAAAAAGGAAAACUAGGCUGUGUGAAGGGUGAAGGUGGCUCAUGCCUGUGAUCCCAGCACUUAGGGAGGGUGAGAUGGGAGGAUCACUUGAGUCCAGGAAUUUGAGACCAGCCUGGGUAACAUAAGGAGACCCCAUCUUUUAAAAAUAAAAAAAAAAAAAAAACAAAAAUAGCCAGUUGUGGUGGUGCGCGCCUGUAGUCCCAGCUAUUUGGGAGACUGAUAUAGGAGGAUUGCUUGAGCCCAGGAGUUUGAGGCUACAGUGGGCUGUGAUUGAGGUACUGCACUCCAGCCUGGGCCACAGAGUGAGACCCUGUCUCAAUAUCCUCCACCUGCCACCCCACCCCUCCACAAAAAACAAACAAACAAAAAAACUAAAAAUAUGUAUACUAUUAAGCUCUUAGUAAAAGUUUCCUUUCAUAGAAAAUAUAGAAUUUUUGCAUUCACUUUGCACUUUGAAUCAGUUUUUUCCCGGUUUAGAAACAACCCUAAUGAGAGACAAUUCAUUUGGAAAAUUGGAUGGGUUCCAGUUUUUUUGCUGUCAGAGAAUUGGAUAAAUAGCCUAUAUCAUGUGAUAAUUACUAUAAAGCAAUGAAGCUUGACAGUGAGGUGAGGGAUUUGAAAACAUACAGUUAAUAAGCAAGGCGAAUUACUACCCUGUUUGUAAAUAUGGAUACAUUUCCAAGAGUGAAAAAAAGAAGUUGAUACCAUUUAUGUUAAAUAUAACCAAAACAUGUUACAUGUUAUCUGGCUACAUGUAAAUAUACAUAAAACAAGUGGACUAGAAGGCUGCACAGGACUUGCAGUGGGACCUCUGGGAAUAGGGGGAGCAGGAUCCACCCGGAGCUGGAAGGGGCCGUAGAGCUAGAGUUCCCUGUUCUUAUUUAAAAAUCUUCAUGUCCUUGGGCCAGGCGCGGUGGCUCACGCCUGUAAUCCCAGCACUUUGGGAGGCCGAGGCAGGUGGAUCACAAGGUCAUGAAUUCAAGACCAGCUUGGCCAGGAUGGUGAAACCCCAUCUGUACUAAAAAUACAAGAAUUAGCCGGGCAUGGCGGCAGGCGCCUGUAAUCCCAGCUACUAGAGAGGCUGAGGCAGGAGAAUUGCUUGAACCUGGGAAGUGGAGGUUGCAGUGAGCCAAGACUGCACCAUUGCACUCCAGCCUGGGCAACAGCGAGACUCCGUCAAAAAACAAAACAAAACAAAAAAAAACUUCAUGUCCUUAUAUAUUUGUGUAAUUUAGAAAAGAACAUAAACAACAAAUAUGGGAAAAGAUGAACAAUGGUUAAUUCUGUGGAGUGGGAGCAUGGUGGGUGAUUAUUUUGUUUAUGCUUUUAGGUAUGUUUCCAACCAUCAAACCAAAAAAAAAAGAAAAAGAGAAACAGAUCCUUGAUCUUAACAGGAAAUGGCUGUCAUUAUGAGUAUUAUUUCUAUUCCCUGUUUUCAUAGAAAAUGUGGACACAGACUUGCCAGGCAGCCUGGGGCAGAGUGAAGAGAAGCCCGUGCCUGCUGCGCCUGUGCCCAGCCCGGUGGCCCCGGCCCCAGUGCCAUCCAGAAGAAAUCCCCCUGGCGGCAAGUCCAGCCUCGUCUUGGGUUAGCUCUGACUGUCCUGAACGCUGUCGUUCUGUCUGUUUCCUCCAUGCUUGUGAACUGCACAACUUGAGCCUGACUGUACAUCUCUUGGAUUUGUUUCAUUAAAAAGAAGCACUUUA
rnacentral:lncRNA from 1 species